GUGAGGAAUUUUCCGCAAUGGGCGAAAGCCUGACGGAGCAAUGCCGCGUGAAGGAUGAAGGCCUAUGGGUUGUAAACUUCUUUUCUCAGAAAAGAAUUAUGACGGUAUCUGAGGAAUAAGCAUCGGCUAACUCCGUGCCAGCAGCCGCGGUAAUACGGAGGGGGCGAGCGUUGUUCGGAAUCACUGGGCGUAAAGCGUGCGUAGGCGGUUAUACAAGUCAGGAGUGAAAUCCCAGGGCUCAACCUUGGAAUUGCUUUUGAGACUGUAUGACUAGAGACCUAGAGAGGUUGGGGGAAUUCCCAGUGUAGCAGUGAAAUGCGCAGAUAUUGGGAGGAACACCAGUGGCGUAGGCGCCCAACUGGCUAGGUACUGACGCUGAGGCACGAAAGCGUGGGGAGCAAACAGGAUUAGAUACCCCUGUAGUCC
rnacentral:rRNA from 1 species